rnacentral:rRNA from 1 species
AUUCCAGCUCCAAUAGCGUAUAUUAAAGUUGUUGCAGUUAGAACGCUCGUAGUCGGAUUUCGGGGCGGGCCGACCGGUCUGCCGAUGGGUACGCACUGGUCGGCGCGUCCUUCCUUCCGGAGACCGUGCCUACUCUUAACUGAGCGGGGGCGGGAGACGGAUCGUUUACUUUGAAAAAAUCAGAGUGUUUCAAGCAGGCAGCUCGCUCUUGCAUGGAUUAGCAUGGGAUAAUGAAAUAGGACUUUGGUGCUAUUUUGUUGGUUUCGAACACCGAAGUAAUGAUUAACAGGGACAGUCAGGGGCACUCGUAUUCCGCCGAGAGAGGUGAAAUUCUCAGACCAGCGGAAGACGAACUACUGCGAAAGCAUUUGCCAGGGAUGUUUUCAUCA